rnacentral:rRNA from 1 species
GACGAACGCUGGCGGCGUGCCUAAUACAUGCAAGUUGAGCGCUGAAGGUUGGUACUUGUACCAACUGGAUGAGCAGCGAACGGGAGAGUAACGCGUGGGGAAUCUGCCUUUGAGCGGGGGACAACAUUUGGAAACGAAUGCUAAUACCGCAUAAAAACUUUAAACACAAGUUUUAAGUUUGAAAGAUGCAAUUGCAUCACUCAAAGAUGAUCCCGCGUUGUAUUAGCUAGUUGGUGAGGUAAAGGCUCACCAAGGCGAUGAUACAUAGCCGACCUGAGAGGGUGAUCGGCCACAUUGGGACUGAGACACGGCCCAAACUCCUACGGGAGGCAGCAGUAGGGAAUCUUCGGCAAUGGACGAAAGUCUGACCGAGCAACGCCGCGUGAGUGAAGAAGGUUUUCGGAUCGUAAAACUCUGUUGGUAGAGAAGAACGUUGGUGAGAGUGGAAAGCUCAUCAAGUGACGGUAACUACACAGAAAGGGACGGCUAACUACGUG